rnacentral:misc_RNA from 1 species
GAUGAAGAACGCAGCGAAAUGCGAUACGUAAUGUGAAUUGCAGAAUUCAGUGAAUCAUCGAAUCUUUGAACGCACAUUGCGCCUGCCAGCACACUGGCAGGCAUGCCUGUUCGAGCGUCAUUUCAACCAUCAAGCCCUAGGCUUGCGUUGGAGCCCUGCGGCUGCCGCAGGCCCCUAAAAGCAGUGGCGGGCUCGCUAUCACACCGAGUGCAGUAGAUUACUCUUCGCUCAGGGCGUGUGGCGGGUUCCAGCCGUGAAACCCCCUACUUCUCAAGGUUGACCUCGGAUCAGGUAGGAAUACCCGCUGAACUUAAGCAUAUCAAUAAGCGGAGGA